rnacentral:rRNA from 1 species
UGGGGAAUCUUGCGCAAUGGCCUAACGGCUGACGCAGCGACGCCGCGUGAGGGAUGACGCUCUUCGGAGUGUAAACCUCUUUUGCCUGGAACGAACUAUCAGCAUUUGCUGAUUUGACGGUACCGGGUGAAUAAGCACCGGCUAACUCCGUGCCAGCAGCCGCGGUAAUACGGGGGGUGCGAGCGUUGUCCGGAAUCACUGGGCGUAAAGGGCGCGUAGGUGGCAUGAUAAGGGUGUGGUGAAAGCCCGGGGCUCAACCCCGGGUCGGCCAUGCCGACUGUCAAGCUGGAGUACUGUAGGGGCAGGCGGAAUUCCGGGUGUAGCGGUGGAAUGCGUAGAGAUCCGGAGGAAGACCGGUGGCGAAGGCGGCCUGCUGGGCAGUUACUGACACUGAUGCGCGACAGCGUGGGGAGCAAACAG